ACUAAAUGAAAAUGUCAGACAGAUGCUUUCUGUAUGUUCAACUCAGGCAGGGCAUUUUUUGAAUCAAACAAUCUAAAAAACACUGUUCAUGUGCUGAGAUUUAGGGGAGGUAAUAAAAAAACAUGUCACGGGGACACAGUCACACUCUCAAGGAGUUUAACAGACAAAUCUAGAAUAGUAAUAAACAUCUCUUGAAUAAGAAAAAAAAUUACACUGAAAGAUAAAUAAAUAAACAUGAAUAGGAACAGCUGGAAAAGCAGUAGACAAAAAGGCAAGGCAUUGAGACAACUUGUCCUAAGAGCGGAGGACAACACUGCGGAAGUCAACAGGCCAAGGAAACACACGUGUGUGGAAAGUUACACAAAAGCUGUAGAUAAACUGUGGCACAAGUCCAACGCCUUCAGAGACGCGUGACAAAUGUAUGAAUAUAUAUAAGUAACAAAAGCAGGAAGAUGAAUUUCACAAGAAGCAGGAUCCACAAGCAAACCAUGAUGAUGAUAAACCACGACGAUGAUGUCGAUGAAGGACGACCAACCAGAACAAAAUCACGCAAAAGAAGGGCAAGUUGCUAGCAGCGUCAAACACGCAAGUCACACGAAAAACUGGACUCGGACAACGCGGAUAAAAACAUGAAGGCGCAUCAUCAUCAACUCAAGGCUGGGAUUAAGCAUGAGAGUCUUCGGUGUUUUCAGAAUUCAUCUUUCCUCUUGGAUUGUACUGUCAGUGCUUCAGACGGGAGUUUCAAGGUAGGAUUCAUUUUAAAACCCGCAUUUUGAAUAUUAACUUUGUCAAAUCAGGCAUAUCGUUUUAAAUCAUGUGCGUUCUUUAUUUUAGAUUUAAAAAAGUGUGUUGUAAUACAUCUGAUAAAGAAGGAAUACAUCAGUGUUUUGCUGUUGUGUUAAGAUAAAUACAAAAAUAUGAUUACAAUGAAUACCAUGGGUGAAGUUCCAUAGCACAAUGAGCUGAAAUGUAACACUGUGACCAUGCUAUUUAAAAAUAAAUUUCUCAAAAAUAAAAAAAAAACCGAGACUGAGGCCUGCAAAAUAGUAUUCUAGUAAAAUAAGUAAGCCAAAGUAUAUUUUCAUAGAUAAAAUCAUUUCAGAAUUUUUAAAAAAUACAGAUCAUUGUCUUGUAGUCAUUAGUCCUUGCAGGUACUAAGGUAUUUUGAUUAGAAAGAUGCAGUUAUUCUUUAUAGAUCUAGGUAUGACAACAAAACUGGCACUUUAAUAACCAUUUCAAUCUGAAUUGGUUCAGAGAGAUUGGUUCAAAAUUUGAAUGUAUGGCUUUAUUACCAUAAAUGUAAUAAUGUCAUUAUUUGAAUAGCUCCACCUUAUAACAAUGAUAAUUUGUUUUAUUAGACUGAAUAAAAAUGAAAUGAAAUUAACCAAAAAAAACAGUUAAGGUGCCUUUGGAAAGAGGAAAAUGUGAGAUGACCUUUACACUGAAAAUAAUUAGGACAAUGCAGGUGUUCAAGCGGUGUUACAGCAAUGUUAAAGCCAUAACCCUCAGUAUCACAAGUUACAACCAACAAGAUGUUCUGAAAACAUUCUAAAGAAGCAAGGCCUAAUGGAACAUUCAGAAACUAACAGGAUAAGCUACCAGUGCAUCGCCUAAAAAAAGACACAAUUCAAACUUGUUCGAACACAAUUUAUUUUAUGCUUAAAUAAUCAAUUAGAUCAUCCAGUGUUUGAUGUUUUUUCAUACAUAUGUUAUUUGAUCUACUGUUAAUGAAUGCCUUAGGUGUUCUUGUAUGAAUAGAUUCAAUGUAAGGAAAUAUUUCACCAAAACCCAAAUAAAAAUGCCCUUUUAAACCACAGCAGCCUUUAAACCUAUGGAUACACUGCUAUAUUGAUUACAGUCGUUUGGCUUACAAAGACUUCUAUAUUUUAUAGCCAAUACACAUAAUAGUUAUAAUUUUACAGCGUGCCAAUCUACUACAUUCGGUUAACUUUUCCUGUUCAAGCAGACAGUUGGUAAAGGCCACCCUUCAGCGGC